UGCUCUUGACAUGUACGGAAGAUUUCAGAGAUGAGAUUGUGCCUUCGGGAACCGUAACAC
rnacentral:rRNA from 1 species